CAAAAUGGCUAUAAAAGAAGCUGUCGCUUCUCAUUGUCAUCAGUUUCCAGAAGCUGCAAAUCAAUUUCUUAUCAGUAGAUAUACCCAGUUUAACAAUGGGGAUUCUGCCCAUUCUCUCGAUCCUUUACGCUCUGUUUGCCAUGAACAUGGCAACAGAUGCGGUGGCCCCAGCUCAGCCUAACACUCUAGAGUUGUCGAAGAAGAUGGACGUCACUCUUAACGAUGCCUUGGCCAAAAGUGAGGAUAUUGCCUCUGACAAUCCAGUGGAGAAGCAGGAGGAGGAAGUGGCUGAUGCCCUGGGAG